rnacentral:rRNA from 1 species
AGUGGCGCACGGGUGCGUAACGCGUAUGCAACUUACCUUCAACAGGGGGAUAACUCGGGGAAACUCGGGCUAAUACCGCGUAAUAAAUGAUGAGGCAUCUCAUAAUUUUAAAAGCCUUGGCGGUUGAAGAUGGGCAUGCGUGCCAUUAGCUAGUAGGUAGGGUAAGAGCCUACCUAGGCGACGAUGGCUAGGGGAACUGAGAGGUUGAUCCCCCACACUGGUACUGAGAUACGGACCAGACUCCUACGGGAGGCAGCAGUAAGGAAUAUUGGGCAAUGGGCGUAAGCCUGACCCAGCCAUGCCGCGUGUCGGACGAAGCCCUCCGGGGUGUAAACGACUUUUUUCCGGGAAGAAAAAGCUCUUGCGAGAGUAACUGACGGUACCGGAGGAAUCAGCACCGGCUAACUACGUGCCAGCAGCCGCGGUAAUACGUAGGGUGCAAGCGUUGUCCGGAUUUAUUGGGUUUAAAGGGUGCGUAGGUGGCUUUUUAAGUCAUGGGUGAAAGCCUGCGGCUCAACCGUAGAAUUGCCUGUGAUACUGAGGAGCUUGAGUGCGGAUGAGGCAACUGGAAUUGGUGGUGUAGCGGCGAAAUGCAUAGAUACCACCAGGAACACCGAUUGCGUAGGCAAGUUACUAAACCGCAACUGACACUGAGGCGCGAAAGCGUGGGGAGCAAACAGGAUUAGAUACCCUGGUARUCCUCGCUGUAAACGAUGAGGACUCGUUGUUG